UACGGAGGAUCCGAGCGUUAUCCGGAUUUAUUGGGUUUAAAGGGUGCGUAGGCGGCCUUGUAAGUCAGGGGUGAAAGACGGUAGCUCAACUAUCGCAGUGCCUUUGAUACUGCAGGGCUUGAAUAUACUAGAGGCAGGCGGAAUGUGACAAGUAGCGGUGAAAUGCAUAGAUAUGUCACAGAACACCAAUUGCGAAGGCAGCUUGCUAUGGUAUAAUUGACGCUGAGGCACGAAAGCGUGGGGAGCAAACAGG
rnacentral:rRNA from 1 species